ACAUCCUCUGACCGCAUAUGAAAGUAUGUUUUCUGGCUUCGGGUCAGACAGAGAGGACAGGUGGUGGCAUGGUUGUCGUCAGCUCGUGUCGUGAGUAUGUUGGGUUAAGUCCCGCAACGAGCGCAACCCCUACGUUUAGUUGCUAACGUGUAACGAUGAGCACUCUAGGCGGACUGCCGUUGACAAACGGAGGAAGGUGGGGAUGACGUCAAAUCAUCAUGCCCCUUAUGUUCUGGGCUACACACGUGCUACAAUGGCCGGUACAAAGGGACGCAAAGCCGCGAGGUGGAGCAAAAUCCUAAAAAGCCGGUCUCAGUUCGGAUUGCAGGCUGCAAUUCGCCUGCAUGAAGUCGGAAUCGCUAGUAAUCGCAGGUCAGCAUACUGCGGUGAAUACGUUCCCGGGCCUC
rnacentral:rRNA from 1 species